GGAUGCGAGCGUUAUCCGGAUUUAUUGGGUUUAAAGGGAGCGCAGGCUGCGGGGCAAGUCAGCGGUCAACUGUCGGGGCUCAACCCCGGCCUGCCGUUGAAACUGUCCUGCUC
rnacentral:rRNA from 1 species